rnacentral:lncRNA from 1 species
AUUUAUCUAUUGAUUGAUUGAUGCAUAGGUUGAUGCCAUAUCUUGGCUAUUAUGAAUAAUGCUGCAGAGACCAUGGGAGUCAGAUAUCUCUUCAACAUACUGAUUUUAUUUCCUUGGGAUACAUAUACCUAAAUAGUAGGAUUGCUGGAUCAUGUGGUAGUUCUAUUUUAAAUUUUGUUUUCUGUUUAUAUUCCCACCAACAGUGUGCCAGAAGUUCUCUUUACUCCGUAUCCUUGCCAACACUUGUUGUCUUUCAUCUUUUUUGGUAAUAGCCAUUCUAAUAGUUUUGAGGCGGUGCCUCACUGUGGUUUUAAAUUUGCAUUUUCCUGGUAAGUGAUGGUAAGCAUUUGCAUGUCUUAAACCUGUUGGCCAUUUGUAUGUCUUCUUUUGAGAAAUGUCUACUCAGGUCCUUUCCCCAUCUUUUAAUCAGGCUGUUUUCUUGGUAUUGAGUUGUUGGAGUUCGUUGUAUAUUUUGGAUAUUAACCCCUCAUUAGAUGUAUGGCUUAUAAAUAUUUUAUUCCAUUCCAUAAGUUGUCUCUUCACUCUGUUGAUAGUUUCCUUUGCAGUGCAGAAGCUUUUGUUUGAUAUAGUCCCAUUUGAUUUGUCUUUUUUUUGUUGUUGUUACCUGUGCUUUUAGGGUCAUAUUCAAAUAAUUGCCCAGACCAGUGUCAUGGAGCUUUUUCUCUACGUUUUCUUCUAAUAGUUUACAGUUUUGGGUCUUAGAUUUAGGUCACUGUCAGUUGAGUUUUUAAUAUGGUGUGAGAUAAGGGUCUAACUUCAUUAUUCUGUAUGUGGAUAUCCAGUUGUCCCAGCACAAUUUAUUAAAGGGACUGUCUUUUCCCAUUAAGUUUCUUCACACGUUUGUAAAAAAUCAGCUGGCUGUAAAUAUAUGGAUUUAUUCCUGGGCUCUCUUUCCUAUUCUUUUGGUUUAAGUGUCUGUUUUUAUGCCAGUACAAAAAUGUUUUGAUUACUAUGGCUUUGUAGUAAUUUUGAAAUCAGGUAUUGUGAUAUCUCUAGCUUUGUUCUUUUUGCUCAAGAUUGCUUUGGCUAUUCAGGGUCUUUAGUGGUUCCAUAUGAAUUUUAGGAUUGUUUUUUCGAUUUCUGUGGAAAAUAUCAUUGGAAUUUUGACAGGGAUUGCACUGAAUCUUUAGAUCACUUUGGUUAGUAUGGACAUUUUAGCAAUAUUAAGUCUUCCAAUCUAUGAAUGUGGGAUAUUUUUGCAUUUAUUUGUGACUUUAAUUUCUUAUGUCAAUGUUUUACAGUUUUCAGUGUAGAGAUAUUUUACCUUCUUGGUUAAAUUUAUUCCUAAGUAUUUUAUAUUUUGUGACACUACUGCUUGUUGUAUAUUGAUAUGCCUGCAACUUUACUGAAUUUGUUUAUUAGUUCUAACAGUCUUUUUGGUGGAUUCUUUCAGCUUUUCUAUAUAUAAAAUCAUCACUUGCAAACAGGGACAGUCUCCUUCCUUUCCAAUUUGGAUGCCUUUUACUUCUUUCUCUUGCCUAAUCGCUCUGGCUAGGACUUCCAGUUCCAGUACUAUGUUAAACAGAAAUGAAAGUGGAAGUCCUUGGAUUAUUCCUGAUCUUAGAGGAAAAGCUUUCAGUUUUUCACUGUUGAGUAUGGUGUUAGCUGUGGGUUUGUCACAUAUGGCCUUUACUUUUGAAGUACACUCCUUCUACUCCUAAUUCAUUGAGAGCUUUUAUCAUGAAAGGAUGUUAAAUUUUGUCAAAUACUUGAUCGUGUGGUUUUUGUCCUUCAUUCUGUUAAUGUGGUGUAUUAUAUUUAUAGAUUGGCAUAUGUUGAACCAUCUGUGAAUCCCUGACAUAAAUCUCACUUGGUCAUGGUGAUUAAUCUUUUCAGAGUGCUGUUGAAUUUGUUUAUUAGUAUUUUGUUGAAAAUUUUUGCAUCUUGACCAGGCACCGUGGCUCACGCUUGUAAUCCCAGCACUUCAGGAGGUCAAGGCCUGAGGAUGGUCUCGAACUCCUGCACUUAAGCAAUCCUCCCACCUAAACCUCCCAAAGUGCUGGGAUUACAGAUGUGAGCCACCGUGUCUGGCCGUAGUUCUUUAAAUGUUCGAUAGCAUUCAGCAGUGAAGCCGUCUGGUUCUGGUCUUUUCUUUGAUGAGGGAAUUUUUUUUUUUUUUUUUUUUUGAGACUGAGUCUCGCUCUCUCACCAGGCUGGAGUGCAGUGGCGCGAUCUCUGCUCACUGCAACCUCUGUCUUCUGGGUUCAAGUGAUUCUCUUGCCUCAGCCUCCCAAGUAGCUGGGACUACAGGCACGUGCCACAAUGCCCAGCUAAUUUUUGUAUUUUUAGUAGAGACGGGGUUUCAACAUGUUGGACAGGAUGGUUUUGAUCUCUUGACCUCGUGAUCUGCCUGCCUCGGCCUCCCAAUGUGCUGGGAUUACUGAUGUGAUCUCCUUUUUUUUUCAAGGCUUAACAUGUAAUUUAACAAGUUGAUGCUGCAUUGCUGCUCCAUUUCUCAGAAAAACUUCAAAUUUAAAGUAUCAGCAACAAAUCAAACAUAGUACAUCAAUUAAAUAUGCACAGCAUAACUACUAUCUAAGAUAGGCAAGGCUAAGAGCUACUCUCAGACCUUCAGCAUACAGCAACUCUGUUUCCAAGAUUGUACUAGGCCUAUCAAGAAAAGUUGUGAACAGCAACAUCAUAGACACAAAACGGCCAUUCCUGGUUGUCCUUAUCCAAGAAAAAGAUUGAGGCAAGUUAACACAAGAUUUUUAAAAAAGAUACACUGAAAUGAAAGUCUCUAAGAGAAAAUGUCUUCCUUAGGACAAGAAGGGAUAAUAUAUCGGAUAUAAAAGAACUAUACGUAC